rnacentral:rRNA from 1 species
UACGUAGGUGGCAAGCGUUGUCCGGAUUUAUUGGGUUUAAAGGGUGCGUAGGUGGUCUAUUAAGUCAGUGCUGAAAUAUCCCGGCUUAACCGGGAGGGUGGCAUUGAUACUGAUGGACUUGAGUAAAGUUGAGGUGGGCGGAAUUGACGGUGUAGCGGUGAAAUGCUUAGAUAUCGUCAAGAACACCUAUUGCGAAGGCAGCUCACUAAGCUUUAACUGACACUGAGGCACGAAAGUGUGGGGAUCAAACGGG